CGUAGGGUGCGAGCGUUAAUCGGAAUUACUGGGCGUAAAGCGUGCGCAGGCGGUUGUGCAAGACAGAUGUGAAAUCCCCGGGCUUAACCUGGGAAUUGCAUUUGUGACUGCACGGCUAGAGUGUGUCAGAGGGGGGUAGAAUUCCACGUGUAGCAGUGAAAUGCGUAGAUAUGUGGAGGAAUACCGAUGGCGAAGGCAGCCCCCUGGGAUAACACUGACGCUCAUGCACGAAAGCGUGGGGAGCGAACAGGAUUAGAUACCCUGGUAGUCCACGCCCUAAACGAUGUCUACUAGUUGUCGGGUCUUAAUUGACUUGGUAACGCAGCUAACGCGUGAAGUAGACCGCCUGGGGAGUACGGUCGCAAGAUUA
rnacentral:rRNA from 1 species